rnacentral:tRNA from 3 species
CGCGCAGAUAGCGGGUAGUGGCGCCGUUUGGCGCUGUCACGGCCGUGGGCUGGCCGUCGAUAUCGCGUUCGAAGCGGGUUUCCGUGU